GAUGAACGCUGGCGGCGUGCCUAAUACAUGCCAGUCGAGCGAACGGACGAGAAGCUUGCUUCUCUGAUGUUAGCGGCGGACGGGUGAGUAACACGUGGAUAACCUACCUAUAAGACUGGGAUAACUUCGGGAAACCGGAGCUAAUACCGGAUAAUAUUUUGAACCGCAUGGUUCAAAAGUGAAAGACGGUCUUGCUGUCACUUAUAGAUGGAUCCGCGCUGCAUUAGCUAGUUGGUAAGGUAACGGCUUACCAAGGCAACGAUGCAUAGCCGACCUGAGAGGGUGAUCGGCCACACUGGAACUGAGACACGGUCCAGACUCCUACGGGAGGCAGCAGUAGGGAAUCUUCCGCAAUGGGCGAAAGCCUGACGGAGCAACGCCGCGUGAGUGAUGAAGGUCUUCGGAUCGUAAAACUCUGUUAUUAGGAAAGAACAUAUGUGUAAGUAACUGUGCACAUCUUGACGGUACCUAAUCAGAAAGCCACGGCUAACUACGUG
rnacentral:rRNA from 1 species